rnacentral:rRNA from 1 species
CCGCGGUAUCCUGACCGUGCAAAGGUAGCGCAAUCACUUGUCUUAUAAAUGAAGACUAGUAUGAAAGGCACCACGAGGACUAAACUGUCUCCUCUCUCUAAUCAGUAAACCUAAUCUCCCCGUGAAGAAGCGGGGAUCAAAAUAUAAGACGAGAAGACCCUAUGGAGCUUAAAACAUCAUACACUUGCCACACUCUUUAUGACACCCAGGUCUUCCCCCCCCCCGGCAUCCUGAUUGCAUGUUUUUGGUUGGGGUGACCGCGGAGAAAAACUCAUCCUCCACAGUGAAAGGGGCCCUCCCCCAAACAACAAGUUACAACUUUAUGUAUCAAUAAACUGACACCACUGACCCAAUAAGUUGAUCAAUGAACCAAGUUACCCUAGGGAUAACAGCACAAUCCACUUUGAGAGACCCUAUCGACAAGUGGGCUUAUGACCUCGAUGUUGG